UCGUCAGUAAGGUACAUCCUUACCUGUUACUCCUAUCAUGGAGUAUCAGAAAAAUGAUGAAUGGAGGUUCAUGAGGAAUGAUUAAGUCCUCCGUCUUGUAGGGAACAGCAACACCCUUCAAGAUCCAUUCUGAU
rnacentral:snoRNA from 1 species